CUGGUGCCCGCAGGCAGGAAGAGCUGCCCUCCGCCCUCAGGCAUCGCGGGGCUCAAGCGCCGCCGCUUCUCUUUCCAGUCUGUCCUUGUCCUCUCCCAGAGCCGUGGCGGAGGAUCCCACUGGAGGGGAAACGCUCUCCGCGCCUGGUGCGGGCUCCCGGCUGGCCGCGGAUGCCCCACAGAGCGGGAUGUGCUUUGCCUGCGCCCGGCUUGCUACAGCGGCCAGAGGGGAAGAGAGGGUGGUCAGGCAUUGGAAUAAGUUGCCCAGGGAGGCGAUGGAAACACCAACCGUGGGUGUGUUCAGGAGGCACCUGGGCCUGGCAUUGAUGUGGUUUGGGGGUGACAGUGCUGCUCUGAUGCUCGGACUGACGACUGAUGUUCUGAUCUAGACGGGCUUUUCCAACCUUGAUGAUCCUAUACUUCUAUAAUUACAGUGUGUGAGCAUUCUUUUUUUCCUCUUCCCAGAGUUGUCUGGGGCAUCAGCAGCCCUUAUUUACAGCAUGCUCUUGCCUUGUUGCUGUGCUGUAUGGUGCUCUGCUGUGAGCCAGCCAAGGGGGUUAUGAACAGCCUCCUUGUGAGCUGAGGAGGUACUUCCAACCAAACAGUGGACAUCAAAAUGGACAGCUAAUUUUGAGUGCCCAAGUGAAGACCUCAGGGUCCCACAGUUCCACAGUGGGAGCUGCUGUAUAUCGUGUAGUGUUUCCUUAAUUCUGAGCAUAGCCGUCACCGAUGCCCCCAAAACUUUUGUGAAUUCAGAGAAUAGACUUAACAGAGGGGAAAAAUUCACUGGCCAUCUUCAGAAAUUGGGUUCAAGUGACCUCCUCCUUCUCCCAAGGAAGAUUAUGAUGUGUUCUGUCUUUACAAUUACUGACAUCCAUUCCUUCUGUAUCUUCAAGGAUUUGUUGCAACAAAUCUGGCAACGUUUUGAGGAGAAAACUGUUCUGUUGACUACAUUCCUGUUGAAAAGGAGGGUGUUACAUUUCUUAUCUUUGGAAAUACAAGAUACAGAUCACUUUCUUUUUUUGCAUUUUUUAAAGAGAAUUACAUUGAAGGAUACUACUGUAAAAGAAGAUGCAAAUAGAAAACAAUCCCAUCACAAAGAAAGAUACCUAGGAAAGCACAAUAUAACUUUUGCAGUUGCAAGGGAGAAGCUGCUAAAGAGGAACACACCCAUGUUUCAAUAACUAUAAAAAUAUGUUUAUUGUUCUGACACCUGAGACAACUCCAAAAUUCUAAAGGGUACUAUCCUAAGGAAGGGCUUUGACUGUGGACUCAACAACACCUGGACAUACCUGUGGCAUCUCAUAAGUGACUUCUCCCAAUGGAGAGGAGAAAAACUAGAAUAGAGAAAACCCAUGAGAACUGGAAAGGUAACUUAAGAGUUAAUUUUCUGGUGUCAAACCUUUCCUUUCUGUGCUGCCUGUCUCUGAGAAAAUAAAGCUUUGCUUUGCAGGAGCUGCCACUGAGGCAGUUCUGUUAGCUGGUGUCACAGAACAAACUGUUGCUAAAUAGGGAGUUUCAGUUCAUAAACACAGUUUAGAAAUGACAGAAUGCAGUGGCAUGUUUCUGUGCAGAAAGCCUAAGUUAAUGA